CCCUAUUCUCAAUUGAAAGAUCUUUUUCGCCAUCUCAUAUCACAUAAUGAAUGUGACCUACCGAAUUAGACUAUUUACCGGGUUUGUAAUAACAUGAACAACACGACGGGUGCCACAUCUGGAGCAGGAUCUGCUUGGUCUUCCAGAGCACAUGAGAUCAACCCAAGUUUUUGGUGGGGUUUGUGUUGCUGAGUCUUAAGUUUUCUUUGUUGUUUCUUGUGUACAAUUACUUGUCUGUUUGAUUAUUUUAGCCAUGGUGAUGUCAGUUUAUUUUCGAUUUUUGAGUUUGACUGUUCCUCUGGAAUCUUUCGCCCCUCUUUUUUUAACACAACUUUUUUCUUUAAAAAAGAGAGUCGUAGAUAUAAAUUUCUUG
rnacentral:lncRNA from 1 species